rnacentral:rRNA from 1 species
UACGGAGGAUGCAAGCGCUAUCCGGAUUUAUUGGGUUUAAAGGGUGCGUAGGCGGGAAAAUAAGUCAGUGGUGAAAUCCUACAGCUUAACUGUAGAAUUGCCGUUGAUACUGUUUUUCUUGAGUAUGGUCAAGGAAGGCGGAAUGUGUAAUGUAGCGGUGAAAUGCUUAGAUAUUACACAGAACACCAGUGGCGAAGGCGACUUACUGGACUGUAACUGACGCUGAGUCACGAAAGCGUGGGUAGCAAACAGGAUUAGAUACCCCUGUA